CAAAGCCUGUUUGGUGGUCUCUUCACACGGACGCGCAUGAAAUUUGGUGCCAUGACUCGGAUCGGGGGACCUCCCUUGGGAGAUCAAUCCCCUGUCUUCCUGUUCUUUGCUCCGUGAGAAAGAUCCACCUACAACCUCAGGUCCUCAGACCGACCAGCCCAAGGAACAUCUCACCAAUUUUAAAUCAGGAGCUUACUACACGUGCCGGCAAUCUGGCCACUGGGCCAAGGAAUGCCCGCAGCCCGGGAUUCCUCCUAAGCCGCGUCCCAUCUGUGUGGGACCCCACUGGAAAUCGGACUGUUCAACUCACCUGGCAGCCACUCCCAGAGCCCCUGGAACUCUGGCCCAAGGCUCUCUGACUGACUCCUUCCCAGAUCUUCUUGGCUUAGCGGCUGAAGACUGACACUGCCCGAUUGCCUUGGAAGCCCCCUAAACCAUCACGGAUGCCGAGCUUCGGGUAACUCUCACAGUGGAAGGGACGUGCAUGAAAGUUAGGGGUAGAAGAAAAGAUGGAUUGAGGUUGUCCUCAGACUUUCCAUGGUAUCUGAGCUGUUUUCCUCUUCCGGAAUUGUGUCUCAUAUGAAGUUCCUCUUCAUUUGAGACUGAGUCUCGCUCUGUUGCCCAGGCUGGAGUGCAGUGGCACGUCGGGUCACUGCAAACCUCCCGCUCCUGGGUUCAAGCGAUUCUCCUGCCUCAGUCUCCUGAGUAGCUGGGAUUACAGGCAUGA
rnacentral:lncRNA from 1 species